CACAUCACAUUGAAAUACUAAUUCCCGUAUGAUUAGCGAAGUUAAGCAACGUCGAGCCUGGUCAGUACCUAGAUAAGUGACCACUUGGGAAUACAAGGUGU